rnacentral:rRNA from 2 species
UACAGAGGGUGCGAGCGUUAAUCGGAAUUACUGGGCGUAAAGCGCACGUAGUCGGCUUUGCAAGCCGGUUGUGAAAUCCCCGGGCUCAACCUGGGAACUGCAUCCGGGACUGCAUUGCUAGAGUAUGGGAGAGGGAAGCGGAAUUUCUGGUGUAGCAGUGAAAUGCGUAGAUAUCAGAAGGAACAUCAGUGGCGAAGGCGGCUUCCUGGACCAAUACUGACGAUCAGGUGCGAAAGCGUGGGGAGCAAACAGG